rnacentral:rRNA from 1 species
GAUGAACGCUAGCGUACAGGCUUAACACAUGCAAGUCGAACGAGCGAGAGAGAGCUUGCUUUCUCGAGCGAGUGGCGAACGGGUGAGUAACGCGUGAGGAACCUGCCUCAAAGAGGGGGACAACAGUUGGAAACGACUGCUAAUACCGCAUAAGCCCACAGGUCGGCAUCGACCAGAGGGAAAAGGAGCAAUCCGCUUUGAGAUGGCCUCGCGUCCGAUUAGCUGGUUGGUGAGGUAACGGCCCACCAAGGCAACGAUCGGUAGCCGGACUGAGAGGUUGAACGGCCACAUUGGAACUGAGACACGGUCCAA